rnacentral:rRNA from 1 species
AGAAUCAACGCUGGCGGCGUGCCUAACACAUGCAAGUCGAACGAGAAAGGGACUUCGGUCCUGAGUAUAGUGGCGCACGGGUGAGUAACACGUGAAUGAUCUACCUCCGAGUGGGGAAUAACCAAAAGAAAUUUUGGCUAAUACCGCAUAACACUUACGAGUCAAAGCAGCAAUGCGCUUGGAGAGGAGUUCGCGGCAGAUUAGUUAGUUGGCGGGGUAAUGGCCCACCAAGACGAUGAUCUGUAUCCGGCCUGAGAGGGCGCACGGACACACUGGAACUGAAACACGGUCCAGACUCCUACGGGAGGCAGCAGUGGGGAAUUUUGCGCAAUGGGGGAAACCCUGACGCAGCAACGCCGCGUGGAGGAUGAAGUAUCUUGGUACGUAAACUCCUUUCGAUGGGGAAGAUAAUGACGGUACCCAUAGAAGAAGCCCCGGCUAACUUCGCGCCAGCAGCCGC